AAGGGUUCUUGAGCUUCCAUCCGAAAACUGCCACACAUCUUGAGCUCGCGGGGUACUACGCCGAACGGGGGUGUGUGAAGGACCUGGAAAGAGGUUGGAGACAGAGGAAGGAAAAGGGAAAUAAUGGAAGAACAGAAAGGACUUUUAGACACAACAGGCACAGCAGAAAAUCCAAAGGAGACAACUGAGGGGCGGCUCCUGGGCUCACAGGUACCUAGUGGAUCCCACUAAGGACAGAGCAGAAGUUUUGAACAGUGAACAAGAAUUACCUUCCAACUGAUCUAAACCUGUACUUCCAUGGCUUGAGCGCUUGCAAUGUUGCAUCCAAGUGAGGAAGCUCAAUAGUCAAGUCAAUGGCUGGCAACGUCUGUCUUAGUUUUUUUUAGGUUUGUUUGUUUUUUUUUUAUUAUUUUUUAAUGCUCAUCAUUGAGAUUGUGUUCAAUUGUUUUCAGCAUUCUUGCAACGUUUCCCUUAAUAAAGACCUGUAAACUGGGAAAA
ensembl:antisense 4930538E20Rik RIKEN cDNA 4930538E20 gene